UCUACACUUCGCCUCAUUAAAAUAUUAAAAAGGGCACUUUGGUUAUUUGGUUUUUACUUUUAGUGGCUAACUUGUCAAAUGCUCCAACCCUUUGGGUUUAGGGUUUGAACCCUUAGGGUUUAGGGUUUGAACCCUUAGGUUUUAAAAAUAAAUUUCUAGGAUUUCCAAUUUAGGUUUUUAAAAUAGAAAAUUAAUAUUUCUAAAUUAUAAUUAGGAUUCGAUUAUUAUAUUCAAGCUUGCUAAUUAAGAUUUAUAUUUCCUUAAUUAAAAUUGAUAAUUUAGCAAUUAGGUUCCAUAGUUGUACAUUAGGGUUUCCAAUUGAACUAUUAGGGUUUUCUAAUAAUCAAUUAGGGCUAUCCCUAAUUAAAUAUAAAAUCAAUAACAUAACAACCUUAUACUUAUUUUCAAACUUCCCAAUUAGGGUUUUAAUAUUCCGAAUUAGGGUUUUGGCUUCCCGAAACUGAAACUAGGGUUUCU
rnacentral:lncRNA from 1 species